rnacentral:rRNA from 1 species
GAUGAACGCUAGCUACAUGCUUAACACAUGCAAGUCGAGGGACCGGCGCACGGGUGAGUAACACGUAUCCAACCUGCCCUUUACUCGGGGAUAGCCUUUCGAAAGAAAGAUUAAUACCCUAUGUAAAGGAUGGGACUGCGUUCCAUUAGGUUGUUGGUGAGGAAGUGGCAAACCAAGACUUCGAUGGAUAGGGGUUCUGAGGGGAAGGACACCGACAUUGAGACUAAGACACGGAACAAACUCGUACGUGAGGUAACAAUGAGGAAUAUUAGCAAAUGAGCGUGAGCCUGAAGCAGCCAAGUAGCGUGGAAGAUGAGGGCUUAUGGAUCGUGAACUUCUGUUAUAAAAGAAUCGGCAUUAAAUAAAAAAGUGUCGGCUAACUCCGUGCCAGCAGCCGCGGUAAUUC